AGCUCCAAGAGCGUAUGUAAAAGUUGUUGCAGUUAAAAAGCUCGUAGUUGAACCUUGGGCUUGGUUUGCCGGUCCGCCUAUGGCGAGUACUGGAUUAAACCGAGCCUUUCCUCCUGGCUAACACGUCCCUCGGGGCGUGCGAACCAGGACUUUUACUUUGAGAAAAUUAGAGUGUUCAAAGCAGGCAUUAGCUUGAAUAUAUUAGCAUGGAAUAAUAGAAUAGGACGUUAUGGUUCUAUUUUGUUGGUUUCUAGGACCAUCGUAAUGAUUAAUAGGGACGGUCGGGGGCAUCAGUAUUGAGUUGUCAGAGGUGAAAUUCUUGGAUUUACUCAAGACUAACUACUGCGAAAGCAUUUGCCAAGGACGUUUUCA
rnacentral:rRNA from 1 species